rnacentral:rRNA from 1 species
UGGAUGAUGUGGAUUAAUUCGAUGCAACGCGAAAACCUUACCUACCCUUGACAUGUCCGGAAUCCUGCAGAGAUGCGGGAGUGCCGAAAGGGAAUCGGAACACAGGUGCUGCAUGGCUGCCGUCAGCUCGUGUCGUGAGAUGUUGGGUUAAGUCCCGCAACGAGCGCAACCCUUGCCAUUAGUUGCCAUCAUUGAGUUGGGCACUUUAAUGGGACUGCCGGUGACAAACCGGAGGAAGGUGGGGAUGACGUCAAGUCCUCAUGGCCCUUAUAGGCAGGGCUUCACACGUCAUACAAUGGUCGGUACAGAGGGUUGCCAACCCGCGAGGGGGAGCUAACCUCAGAAAGCCGAUCGUAGUCCGGAUUGCAGGCUGCAACUCGCCUGCAUGAAGUCGGAAUCGCUAGUAAUCGCGGAUCAGAAUGUCGCGGUCGAAUACGUUCCCGGGCCUU